rnacentral:lncRNA from 1 species
AGAACAGGAUUUCUGAGCAUGCAGUCAUAACUCUAGGUCAUUCAUUAAUUUCAGGCCCUGCUAGCAGAUACCAAGGAUGACAGUGAAAACAGUCACACGGAAGAAGGAGGGAGGGAGGACCGUGCACUACAAAGAACUCUUUUACACCGAGUUGAGAAAUCAUCGGGUUGUUAGAAUUGGACAGAACAUUUAACUCCCAUUCCUUUAUCAUCUAAAAUCUGAUAUCAUGUCAUUUGGUUCACUUCCUACAAAUAAUUACCUUUUGGCUACAUCAAGGUUAUAAUGAUAAGUUAUCAUUUCGGAGCCCAGACUACAGCCCUCGAACCAAGCUAAGUGACUUAAGUGUGCCAUCUCAUUUAACCCCCACAAAGAUUAUACUUGGCCAGGCUGAUAUCACUUAUUUCAUUUCACAGAUGAGGAUAUUGAUCUCAUGGUCACAAAGCUAGUAAACGGCCGAGAAUCACGCCUCGGUCUGUCCAGCUUCAAAACCUGGAUCCAUCACCAUGACACGCUGCUGAAUGAGGCCCGGGUUCGAGAGUAUCACACUUUAAAAAUAUCAUGAUGCAGAUGAGGAUGUGGUACAGUGAUGACUACCAUGUACACAGUACAUUCUAGACACACACUGUCCCCAAGUGCUUCUCUGCAUCUUCACUUAGUCCCCACUGCAACCCCAUGAGGCCAGCACUGUGACUGGAGGAUGCUGAGAGCAGUGAGGUGAAAUAAGCUGCCCGGCGUCACACAGCUGGGAACUGGCAGAAUUGGGAUUCCAGCUCAGGGAAGCGCCCAUGCUCUUAACUCUUAGGCUACACUGCCUGGCUCUUGGGUGGGGGAUCACUGCAGACAGAGUUAAGCUUUGGUGUGUGGGGGGCGGGGGAGGCAGGGGGAGGGGCAGGUGCUUCAAAGAUGGAAGGGAACACAGAGAAGGGACUUUGCCAACUAAUAUUAGCACAAGUCACAUACUGAGACGAAGGUUUUAAAGAGGAUUUUUUUCCCCCGCUAUUUGAGUUCAUGAGAAGAGUUUGUUACCUAUUGAACAAAUAGUCUUCACUAAUAAAGAACAAUGUGACAAGAAGUCAGCACUGUUCUUAGAUAACUGGGGACACAGGGAGGGCACUCCAGUGUUCCCAUGGAAGGAAUGAAUUCGGGCACAGUCCGUCCCGUGCAACUCCCCUAGGGAGAGAAGGGGCAACUGGAUUCCUCUCGACAAACUAGAAACUUUGUGACAAUGACAAGCUGUUCCCACCCCGGCCCUCCCCUAGGAUGCUGGAGAGCCCAGAGAGGGAAGAGAAGAAACCCAGCGUUGGUGCGGUGCCCACCGCGGACUCGACUUCAUUCCACCUUCACGCUGAGAGGUGACACCGUCGUUCCCACAGUGAGACCUGGCGCUCGGGUGCCCCAGGGGGGGUUGCCCAAGGUCACAGAACAGCAAGCAGCAGGCCAAGAUACCUAGAGAGAGUUCGCGGGGCCGGAGGCUCCCUGCUGUCUCCUGCAAGUGCGUGGGGGUGGGGUCUGAUUUCCACCCGUGUUGGACGUCAGCGGCCUCCGACGCUUUUUGGAAGCAGAAGCCCUCCAGGGCAGGGUUUACUGUUAGUUCUAUUCCUGACUGGGUCGUCGCCAAGACUGGCACACAGUAGGUGCUCAGUAAAUGUGUAUGGAAUGAAUGAAUGUAACCUUCAUCGAUCCAUCUAUCAAUUGUCACACUUCGCUCAUGCUACAGCGGGAUGAACCUUGGAGAUGUAAUACUUAGUGAAAGAAGCCAGACACAAAAGACCACACACUGUAUGAUUCCGUACUUUUCAGGAACACCUGCUGUGUGGCCGGCACUGUAGUAGGUGCCAGGGAUACAAAGAAGAAACUUUCAGGGCUCUUAGGAAGACAGGAAAACAAGUCAAUCAGCAAUGGUCCUAGCGUGAUGAGGAAACUGAGGUUCUGAAUGAUUAGAUGACUCACCCGAUAUCACACAGCUGGUAAGCACGUGAACCAGGAUGAGAAACCCAGGCUAUCUAUGCCAGUGCCCAGUUAACCAGUUCACCAGAACACCAGAAGCCGCCCCCAGGGCUGCAAGCUGACCAUGCCUGGGACACAGGAGGUUGCAGUGGUGAAGAUCAACAGGCGGGGCGAGGAGCAUCUCCGUCUCCCUCUGAAGACCAUUUGGAAGAGGGUGUGAGAGCUGCCGCCAGGCUUUCCCAGAGAACAGCUGGGCCUGGAAGGGGCGGUCCAGGUCCCAUAAUAACUGCUACCUGCUGCUGCAGCAAUUUUCCCUGCUGGGUGUUUCCAAGUCCGAGUCUCCUGGGGGAGGAGGCUGGGAGGAGGAGGAGGAGGAGGGCUGAUUCUCUAAACUCCCCCUGCUUCUCACCAAAGGUCUGUCCUUGGCCCAGCUUCCCUUCCGAAGGUUGAGUAAUCUCAAAAAAUUGCAGCCUGGCAUGAAAGAGCAGGCCUGCAGGCCAAGCCAGAUCACGUCCGCACGCGGGAUGCUUGGCCCACAUGCUCCUGUACACUUGUAACUGUUAAACCAGAGGACAAGAAGCAACAGAUGUCCUCAGAUCACCAAACCAGCAAAUGCGCAGAGCCAUGGUGGGCGUCUGGCCCCAGUGCUUGGGUGGCCCCUAACAUCAGAUUAAGGAAAAAAGACCUCUCCUCAGCUGGAACGUCCCACUUCCUCCUCCCUCCUCCUCACCAGUAUUUUUCUCUCUGCUUUGCCUGGAUUGGAGUCCUGACCUGGCUACUCCCAGCUGUGUGAACUGGGCCAGCAACUUAGCUCCGUUGUGCCUCAGUUUCUCCAUCUCUAAAUGAAGCGCUUAUUCCUCUCUCAUGGAGCCGUCGUGAGAAUUACGUGAAUGAAUACAGGCUGACUACUUUGAACAGUGCCUGGUACGUAAAGCCCUGUACACUGUAGCUUUUGCUGAUGGUGGUAGACACUCUGCUAUUUAGAGAGGUGUUCUUUCUCUCGAGGCUUUGAUUCCUGCUAAAACAGAAAUCAUUUGGAAAUGGACACUUUUUCUGCCAUUUAGAGAGGUAUUCUUUGUCUUGAGCCUUUGAUUCCUGUUAAAAUAGAAAUGAUUCAAAAAUGAA